UCCCCUCUGGGGGCCCGAGUUGUAAUUUGAAGAGGAUGCUUUUGGCGAGGCGCCUUCCGAGUGCCCUGGAACGGGACGCCACAGAGGGUGAGAGCCCCGUAUGGUAGGACGCCGAGCCUCUGUAAAGCUCCUUCGACGAGUCGAGUAGUUUGGGAAUGCUGCUCAAAAUGGGAGGUAAACCCCUUCUAAAGCUAAAUAUUGGCCAGAGACCGAUAGCGCACAAGUAGAGUGAUCGAAAGAUGAAAAGCACUUUGAAAAGAGAGUUAAACAGCACGUGAAAUUGUUGAAAGGGAAGCGCUUGCGACCAGACUUGCGCCCGUCGGAUCAACCGUCCCUCGUGGGCGGCGCACUCCGGCGGGCUCAGGCCAGCAUCAGUUUUCCCGGGGGGAGAAAGGCGGUGGGAAUGUAGCUCUUCGGAGUGUUAUAGCCCGCCGCGUAAUGCCCUCGGGGGGACUGAGGACCGCGCGUAUGCAAGGAUGCUGGCGUAAUGGUCGUCAGCGACCCGUCUUGAAACACGGACCAAGGAGUCGUCCUAAUAUGCGAGUGUACGGGUGUAAAACCCCUGCGCGUAAUGAAAGUGAACGGAGGUGAGAGCUUCGGCGCAUCAUCGACCGAUCCUGAUGUUCUCGGAUGGAUUUGAGUAAGAGCAUAUUGGGCCGGACCCGAAAAAGUGACUAUGC
rnacentral:rRNA from 1 species